rnacentral:tRNA from 1 species
GAAGGUAUAGCUCAAGUGGUAGAGCGCAUGCUUAGCAUGCACGAGGUCCUGGGUUCAAUCCCCAGUACCUCCU